rnacentral:misc_RNA from 1 species
AACGCACAUUGCGCCUCUCUUCACGGAGGGGCAUGCCUGUCUGAGCGUCACAAAACCCAUAAACGUAUGUUUGUGUUGGGCCCUGCACAAGUGCAUCGCCUCAAACGCAUGGUCUGAAAUGCGCGGACGAGCUCCUCUGGACCUGCCGCGACGGACCCCGAACACUUUGACCUCAGAUCAGGUAGGAAGACCGCCUGAACUUAA